UAGUCCACGCUGUAAACGAUGUCUACUUGGAGGUUGUUGUCUUGAAUGAUGGCUUUCGGAGCUAACGCGUUAAGUAGACCGCCUGGGGAGUACGGCCGCAAGGUUAAAACUCAAAUGAAUUGACGGGGGCCCGCACAAGCGGUGGAGCAUGUGGUUUAAUUCGAAGCAACGCGCAGAACCUUACCUAGGCUUGAAAUCCCUCGAAUCCCGAGUAAUUUUGGGAGUGCCCGCAAGGGAAUGAGGUGACAGGUGCUGCAUGGCUGUCGUCAGCUCGUGUUGUGAAAUGUUGGGUUAAGUCUCGCAACGAGCGCAACCCCUAUCUUUAGUUGCCAGCAUUAAGUUGGGCACUCUAGAGAGACUGCCCGGGUUAACCGGGAGGAAGGUGGGGAUGACGUCAAGUCCUCAUGGCCCUUAUGCCUAGGGCUACACACGUAAUACAAUGGUGCAUACAGAGGGAAGCGAUCGGGUGACCGUUAGCAAAUCUCAAAAAGUGCAUCUCAGUCCGGA
rnacentral:rRNA from 1 species